AGGUCAAAGCUUCAAAUAUGCUUAUGGAGUUAGGAUCAAAAUGUAUAUCUUGUCCUCCAAAUGAAGCUCUUCUUCCAACUCCACUUGAAGCACUAUCCAAAUUGCCUCCUUCCAUUCUCCUUUAACUCCUUCUCCAAAAUUCAAAUAAAAAAAAAUAAUAAUAAAUUCCUUCCACCUCAAGCGUUUCACGUCAGGUUCACCAAAUAUGUCGUAAUGUGUGAAGUCUUGCUUGAGAAUGCUCCAGACACCUGGCUGUAGAAGGAAGAAUAGAAAUUGCGAUAACAAAAUCCUAAAUAGAAUACUAACAAUGCUCUAAUUAGACUAUAAUAAUGGUAAACAAACGUAAUCAAAUUCAAAACAACUCAAAGAAAUUUCAAACAAACAAUAAAAUUAUUAAAGAAAUAUUAGAAUGAUCACAAAUUUUACUCAAAUAUAUGUCAAUUCAACCUUAAUUUAAUUCUAGUUAAAAUCCUAUUGUAUUUUACUCAACUUUAGACCAAACCUAAUUAAAUCUUAAAUCCUAAUAAUUCCUAAAUCCUAAGUCAAAUCCUAAACAAAUCUUAAAUUAAACCCUAUUCCAAACCCUAAACCCUAAACCAAAUCCUAAAUCAAAUCCUAAACCAAACCCUAAUCCAAUCCUAAAUCCUAAACCAAAUCUUAAAUCAUAUCCUAACCAAACCCUAAUCCAAACCCUGAAUCAAAUCCUAAAAAAAACCUAAAUCUUAAUCCAAACCCUAAUCCAAACCUUAAUCCAACUCUAAACUCUAAUCUAAAUCCUAAACCCUAAACCAAACCUUAAAUCAAAUCCUAAUAAAAUCCUAGUCCAAACUCUAAUCCAAAUCCUAAAUCAAAUCCUAACCAAUUCCUAAACCCUAAUCCAAAUCCUAAUCAAAAUCCUAAUCCAAACUCUAAUCCAAUCCUAAACUCUAAUCCAAACCUUAAACCCUAAACCAAACCUUAAAUCAAACUCAAAUCAAAUCCUAAUCCAAACCCUAAUCCAAACCCUAAAUCAAACCCUAACCAAAUCCUAAAUGCUAAUCCAAACCCUAGCCAAACCCUAAUCCAAA
rnacentral:lncRNA from 1 species